rnacentral:misc_RNA from 1 species
GAACCAAAUUGAUAAAAUUAAAAGUACAAGUUAAAUUGAAAGGCAUGCAAAGUUCAAGAUAUUACACCAUAAACCUCUUACUAAAAAACUCCUAAACCACAGCAUGCACUUAGAUACCUAACAUUUCAAAAUUAGUACACUACCAUGAAUCAAAAGUGUAAUUGAAGGAUUAUAAUGCUUUACAAUAUGACAAUUCAAGGACUAAAAUGCAAUUAAAAUUUAAAAUUUGAAGAACUAAAGUGUAAUGAAAGAUUUAUAGUUUUAUAAUCAAAGUCUAAAUUGCGGAAUCAUUAACAUACCAUAGAGGUCAGAACGACAAACUUUAAAACAAUAAGGACCAAAGUGCAUGAAGAUUUUAGCAAUUUGCCCUUUUAAAAAUUUAUUAAAUGAACAUUUUACAAAGUUCAUAUAAACCAUCAUAUAGAAAUAUAGUCGUAUCUUGUUUAACCAUUUUCAUUUAAAUUUUCAUAUAUAAUACAUUGUCUUUUUUUUUUCUCCUUCACCGACAA